UGGCGGACGGGGGAGUAAUGUCUGGGAAACUGCCUGAUGGAGGGGGGUAACUACUGGAAACGGUAGCUAAUACCGCAUAACGUCGCAAGACCAAAGAGGGGGACCUUCGGGCCUCUUGCCAUCGGAUGUGCCCAGAUGGGAUUAGCUAGUAGGUGGGGUAACGGCUCACCUAGGCGACGAUCCCUAGCUGGUCUGAGAGGAUGACCAGCCACACUGGAACUGAGACACGGUCCAG
rnacentral:rRNA from 1 species